rnacentral:tRNA from 2 species
ACCCGCUUAGCUUAAAGGCAGAGCAAGCUACUUCUAAUAGCAAGGUACAGGUUCGAAUCCUGUAGCGGGUA